rnacentral:lncRNA from 1 species
CAGCAGCCGGUGGCUUUUUCAUCUCAGAAUUCUGUAAGACAUUUGGAUACUGAAAAUUCCUCUCCUCAUGUGGGAUGAGUCAGGCAGAUGCAGUAAGGUGCAAUAUGGAAUACCAAAAUUUUAAGCAAUUUGGAAGAGAAAGAAGGGUCAUGGAGAGAAGUUGUGGAGCCAAAGUUGGAAAGCUCAAGGUCUCCCUAAGAGAUAACCAAUUGGAUCUGGGGCAAACAAACAAAAAGAGUAAUCAGACUCCACUGACCUGUUUAACCCUGAAUGUGAAGGAUGAAAUGCAGCAACCGUUUUCUGUGGAACAGGGCUUCUGAUGGCACUUGCUUUUUUCCUUUUGGACUAUGUUGACUUAAAAACGAUCAAGAUAUUGAAUUGAUAAUGUGAAUUUGCACCCACCCGACUGUGUUCCAUCACUUUUUGUAGCAGGUAUGUCAUUUGAAUCAUUUUGCCUCAUUUUUCAGCAUAAAGUCAGAUGAAUUAUGGGUAUGGUAAAAUAAAAGGCAUAUUAUUAUGACCUCUAGAUAAGCU